UUUAAAGGGAAGAACCUUACCCAAGUUUGACAUCCCGGUGGACGAAGGAGAAAUGUCCUUUUCCUUUCGGGCCGGGAAGACCGGGGGGGCCAUGGUUGUCGUCAGCUGGGUUGGGGAGAUGUUGGUUAAAGUCCCCAAACGAGCGCACCCUUUUUCUUUAGUACCCAGCAGUAAGAUGGGCACUCUAGAGAGACUGCCGGGGAUAACCCGGAGGAAGGUGGGGAUGACGUCAAAUCAUCAUGCCCCUUAUGAUUUGGGCUACACACGUGCUACAAUGGCGUAAACAAAGGGAAGCGAACUUGUGAGGGCAAGCAAAUCUCAAAAAUAACGUCUCAGUUCGGAUUGUAGUCUGCAACUCGCCUACAUGAAGCUGGAAUCGCUAGUAAUCGCGGAUCAGAAUG
rnacentral:rRNA from 1 species